ACUCCUACGGGAGGCAGCAGUGAGGAAUAUUGGUCAAUGGGCGCAAGCCUGAACCAGCCAUGCCGCGUGCAGGAUGACGGUCCUAUGGAUUGUAAACUGCUUUUGUACGGGAAGAAACACUCCUUCGUGAAGGAGCUUGACGGUACCGUAAGAAUAAGGAUCGGCUAACUCCGUGCCAGCAGCCGCGGUAAUACGGAGGAUCCAAGCGUUAAUCGGAAUUACUGGGCGUAAAGCGCAUGCAGGUGGUUUGUUAAGUCAGAUGUGAAAGCCCGGGGCUCAACCUCGGAAUUGCAUUUGAAACUGGCAGACUAGAGUACUGUAGAGGGGGGUAGAAUUUCAGGUGUAGCGGUGAAAUGCGUAGAGAUCUGAAGGAAUACCGGUGGCGAAGGCGGCCCCCUGGACAGAUACUGACACUCAGAUGCGAAAGCGUGGGGAGCAAACAGGAUUAGAUACCCUGGUAGGAUAGCGU
rnacentral:rRNA from 1 species